rnacentral:rRNA from 1 species
AUUGAACGCUGGCGGCAGGCCUAACACAUGCAAGUCGAACGAGUGGCGGACGGGUGAGUAAUGUCUGGGAAACUGCCUGAUGGAGGGGGAUAACUACUGGAACCGGUAGCUAAUACCGCAUACCAUCAGAUGUGCCCAGAUGGGAUUAGCUAGUUGGUGGGGUAACGGCUCACCAAGGCGACGAUCCCUAGCUGGUCUGAGAGGAUGACCAGCAAAACUGGACAUGAGACCCGGUCCAGACUCCAACGGAAGGCAGCAUGGGGGAAUAUUGCACAAUGGGCGCAAGCCUGAUGCAGCCAGGCCGCGUGUAUGAAGAAGGCCUUCGGGUUGUAAAGUACUUUAAGCGGGGAGGCGUUACCCGCAGAAGAAGCACCGGCUAACUCCGUGCCAGCCGCCGCGGUAAUAC